rnacentral:rRNA from 1 species
GCGCGUUAUGCUAUUUGCUCGAGACCCGAAGCCAAGCGAGCUUGCCAUGGCCAGGGUGAAUUUUGACGAAAGUCACAUGGAGGCCCGAACCCGUGAGCCGUGCAAUACUCUGGGAUGAGCUGUGGUAAGAAGUGAAAAGCUAAUCGAGCUUGGUAAUAGCUGGUUCUCCCCGAAAUAACUUUAGGGUUAGCCUGAGCAUAUAACUACCUACAGGGGUAGAGCACUAAAUGGAUUAUCGUGGGUUUUACCUAGGCAAUCCAAUUAAACUCCGAAUACUGUAGGUAUGUGCUUGGAGUUAGACUGUGGGGGCUAAGCUCCAUAGUCAAAAGGGAAACAGCCCAGACCUUCAUCUAAGGUCCCUAAAUUUGAGCUAAGUGCAGCAAAGGAAGUAGAAAUCCAUUGAUAGUUAGGAGGUUAGCUUAGAAGCAGCUAUCCUUUAAAAAGUGCGUAAUAGCUUACUAAUUAAGGAAUUCUGCGCCAAAAAUUUACAGGGCUAAAGCUCAAUACCGAAGAUAAGGCUGAGUACUCAAUUCGUUGAGUGCUCGGGGUAGGGGAGCGUCCCUAUUGCAAUGAAGUUCCGCCGUAAGGUUGGGAUGGAGCGAUGGGGAGUGAGAAUGUUGGCAUGAGUAACCGCAAUCCCGGUGAAAGCCCGGGACACCGAAAUCCUAAGGUUUCCUUGGCAAUGACGAUCAACCAAGGGUUAGGCGGGCCUAAGGCGUAGCCGAAAGGCGAAGCUGAUGGACAGCCGGUUAAUAUUCCGGCCCCCGGGUACAUAAUUCUGAAGAGGGGACGAAGUCUAGUAGUCUAAGCAAGUUAUUGGAUUCUUGUCGCUAACUUAAGGAUUUUCCAAGAGUUAGCGGGAAGCUUCGGUUCGCCGGAGUGAACUUAGAUAAGCAGGCUCCCAAGAAAAGCCUUUUCAGAAGUUACUUAUGUGCCUGGUCCGUACCGUAAACCAACACAGGUAGGAUGGCGUAAGAGUGCCAAGGUGAACGGGUGAAACCUCGUUAAGGAACUCGGCAAAAAAGCGUCCGUAAGUUCGCGAUAUGGACUUCCCAUUAGAUAAUUUAUCUAACGGGAUGCAACGAACGAUCCCCUAGCGACUGUUUAUCAAAAACACAGGUCCCUGCUUAACUCGUAAGAGAAUGUAUAGGGGCUGAGGCCUGACCAGUGCUGGAACGUCAACAGCGGCGGUUCAAGUACAUAAUUCGUUAUGUGCUCGAGCUAACCGCUCGAAGCGCCAGUGAACGUCCGCCGUAACUAUAACGGUGUUAAAGUAGCGUAGUCCCUUGCCAGGUAAGUUCUGGCCCGCAUGAAAGGCUUAACGACUAGGGGACUGUCUCAACGAGGAGCCCGGUGAAAAUGCAAUACCGGUAAAGAUGCCGGUUACCUGCGGCUAGACGGAAAGACCCCGGGAGCUUUACUGUAGUCAGAUAUUGAGUUUUGGUUUUGGAUGCGUAGCGUAGAAGGGAGACUUUGAAGUCCGCCUUUCGGGGCGGAUGGAGUCGUCAAUGAAACACCUUUCUUUUAAAACUUUUGUUCUAAUCCCGAGAUUAUCGAAGGAAACAGUGUCUGGCGGUCAGUUUAAGUGGGGCGCUUGCCUCCUAAAAGGUAACGGAGGCGUUUAAAGGUCGGCUAGCUCCGGAUGGAAAUCGGAGCGAUCGGGCAAAGCCAAAAGCCGGCUUUACUGCAAGCAGGAUAUUGCGCGCAGUUGGGAAACCAGAACUUAGUGAACCGACCGUGGUUAAUAGAAUCGCGGAAGAUCAUCAGCUAAAAGUUACCCCGGGGAUAGACUCUGAAAUAAGAGUUUGUUGUCCAAUCCCGCAGCAAUGCGGGAAAUGUACGGCUUAUAACGGUGAACCAAAAACUGGUCUUCCUCUU